rnacentral:rRNA from 1 species
ACGCUCGACACCUACUGGAGGCAGCAGUGGGGAAUAUUGGGCAAUGGGCGAAAGCCUGACCCAGCAACGCCGCGUGAGGGAAGAAGGUUUUCGGAUUGUAAACCUCUGUCCUCAGGGACGAAGGACGUGACGGUACCUGAGGAGGAAGCCCCGGCUAACUACGUGCCAGCAGCUGCGGUAAUCUGAGCGGGCUGGCAAGGC